rnacentral:rRNA from 1 species
GGGUUGUGAGGUUAAGCGACUAAGCGUACACGGUGGAUGCCCUGGCAGUCAGAGGCGAUGAAGGACGUGCUAAUCUGCGAUAAGCGUCGGUAAGGUGAUAUGAACCGUUAUAACCGGCGAUUUCCGAAUGGGGAAACCCAGUGUGUUUCGACACACUAUCAUUAACUGAAUCCAUAGGUUAAUGAGGCGAACCGGGGGAACUGAAACAUCUAAGUACCCCGAGGAAAAGAAAUCAACCGAGAUUCCCCCAGUAGCGGCGAGCGAACGGGGAGCAGCCCAGAGCCUGAAUCAGUAUGUGUGUUAGUGGAAGCGUCUGGAAAGGCGCGCGAUACAGGGUGACAGCCCCGUACACAAAAAUGCACAUGCUGUGAGCUCGAUGAGUAGGGCGGGACACGUGGUAUCCUGUCUGAAUAUGGGGGGACCAUCCUCCAAGGCUAAAUACUCCUGACUGACCGAUAGUGAACCAGUACCGUGAGGGAAAGGCGAAAAGAACCCCGGCGAGGGGAGUGAAAAAGAACCUGAAACCGUGUACGUACAAGCAGUGGGAGCACGCUUAGGCGUGUGACUGCGUACCUUUUGUAUAAUGGGUCAGCGACUUAUAUUCUGUAGCAAGGUUAACCGAAUAGGGGAGCCGAAGGGAAACCGAGUCUUAACUGGGCGUUAAGUUGCAGGGUAUAGACCCGAAACCCGGUGAUCUAGCCAUGGGCAGGUUGAAGGUUGGGUAACACUAACUGGAGGACCGAACCGACUAAUGUUGAAAAAUUAGCGGAUGACUUGUGGCUGGGGGUGAAAGGCCAAUCAAACCGGGAGAUAGCUGGUUCUCCCCGAAAGCUAUUUAGGUAGCGCCUCGUGAAUUCAUCUCCGGGGGUAGAGCACUGUUUCGGCAAGGGGGUCAUCCCGACUUACCAACCCGAUGCAAACUGCGAAUACCGGAGAAUGUUAUCACGGGAGACACACGGCGGGUGCUAACGUCCGUCGUGAAGAGGGAAACAACCCAGACCGCCAGCUAAGGUCCCAAAGUCAUGGUUAAGUGGGAAACGAUGUGGGAAGGCCCAGACAGCCAGGAUGUUGGCUUAGAAGCAGCCAUCAUUUAAAGAAAGCGUAAUAGCUCACUGGUCGAGUCGGCCUGCGCGGAAGAUGUAACGGGGCUAAACCAUGCACCGAAGCUGCGGCAGCGACGCUGAUGCGUUGUUGGGUAGGGGAGCGUUCUGUAAGCCUGCGAAGGUGUGCUGUGAGGCAUGCUGGAGGUAUCAGAAGUGCGAAUGCUGACAUAAGUAACGAUAAAGCGGGUGAAAAGCCCGCUCGCCGGAAGACCAAGGGUUCCUGUCCAACGUUAAUCGGGGCAGGGUGAGUCGACCCCUAAGGCGAGGCCGAAAGGCGUAGUCGAUGGGAAACAGGUUAAUAUUCCUGUACUUGGUGUUACUGCGAAGGGGGGACGGAGAAGGCUAUGUUGGCCGGGCGACGGUUGUCCCGGUUUAAGCGUGUAGGCUGGU